rnacentral:rRNA from 1 species
AGUGGCUCAGAACGACGCUGGCGGCAUGCCUAACACAUGCAAGUCGAACGAAGCCUUCGGGCUUAGUGGCGCACGGGUGCGUAACGCGUGGGAAUCUGCCCUUGGGUUCGGAAUAACAGUUAGAAAUGACUGCUAAUACCGAAUGAUGUCUUCGGACCAAAGAUUUAUCGCCCAAGGAUGAGCCCGCGUCGGAUUAGCUAGUUGGUGAGGUAAAGGCUCACCAAGGCGACGAUCCGUAGCUGGUCUGAGAGGAUGAUCAGCCACACUGGGACUGAGACACGGCCCAGACUCCUACGGGAGGCAGCAGUGGGGAAUAUUGGACAAUGGGCGAAAGCCUGAUCCAGCAAUGCCGCGUGAGUGAUGAAGGCCUUAGGGUUGUAAAGCUCUUUUACCCGAGAUGAUAAUGACAGUAUCGGGAGAAUAAGCUCCGGCUAACUCCGUG